rnacentral:rRNA from 1 species
GAUGAACGCUGGCGGCACGCUUAACACAUGCAAGUCGAACGAAGUGGCGAACGGCUGAGUAACACGUGGGCAACCUGCCCUUCAGUUCGGAAUAGCUACGGGAAACCGUGGGUAAUACCGGAUGCUGAAGGAUGGGCCCGCGGCCUGUUAGCUUGUUGGUGAGGUAACGGCUCACCAAGGCAGUAAUGGGUAGCCGGGUUGAGAGACCGACCGGCCAGAUUGGGACUGAGACACGGCCCAGACGCCUACGGGAGGCAGCAGGGGGGAAUCUUGCGCAAUGGGCGAAAGCCUGACGCAGCGAGGCCGCGGGCGGGAUGAAGGCUUUCGGGUCGUAAACCGCUUUCAGCAGGGACGCGGUACCUGCAGAAGAAGCCCCGGCUAACUACGUGCCAGCAGCCGCGGUAAUAC